rnacentral:lncRNA from 1 species
UUCCAGUCCUAUAAAUUCCUAUUCUUGGAGAAAAAAUUGGAGAGAAGAUUUCAUCGAGUUGUACAAGACGGAGCCUCCUCCACCUCUUGUUCUUACUUUGGUGGGCUGAUCUGGAGUCCAUUUGGGGCUCCGGGGAGGGGGAUUUGUCAUCAUCAACCCUUCUCCAUCAACAAUUACAUUAUGCUCAACAACGGGUGUGAUUAUUUCCAUAGUAGGAUCGCUGGAUGGUGAUGCGGUUUGGAUGAGAUUGAUCAUGUAAUGAGUUGCUUUUGAUAGCUCUUCAUCCCUAGUAUCCAUUAUGUUAUGAGAUUGAUGUUGCUAUGACUUUGCUAUGCUUAAUUCUUGUCACUAGGGCCCGAGUGCCAUGAUUUGAGAUCUGAACUUAUUAUAUUCUCUCUGAAUAUGAAAAGUAUUUGGAUA